GAGUACUGUUGGACGGUCUCAGG
rnacentral:siRNA from 1 species